GAUGAGCGAUCCGAAUAUGUAGAGCAGAUAAUGACCAAUCAGGGCUUUCUUACGGCCGCAAUAUUGCAUCGGAAUGCUGAUGGCCAGCGCCCCGAAGAAAGAGCCGCACAUGGGCAUUGCAGCUACGCCAGAAACACAGAUCCAUUUGAAAUCGUCUACGUCCAUUUCGAAAUCUAAUGUUCGAUUGAGAGAUGGCAAUCCAGGUGAGCCCCAUCCUCGGACGGUGCCCAUGCAAAAGUAACCCCACGACCCGACCACUGCUGCCAUCAACUGCCACAUACAAUUCGGGUAAAUACAUUUAAGGAUUUUAUGUAAGAAA